AUUGAACGCUGGCGGCAUGCCUUACACAUGCAAGUCGAACGGCAGCGCGGGGCAACCUGGCGGCGAGUGGCGAACGGGUGAGUAAUAUAUCGGAACAUACCCUAGAGUGGGGGAUAACGUAGCGAAAGUUACGCUAAUACCGCAUACGCACUAAGGUGGAAAGUGGGGGGAUUCGCAAGAACCUCAUGCUCAUGGAGUGGCCGAUAUCUGAUUAGCUAGUUGGUGAGGUAAAGGCUCACCAAGGCAACGAUCAGUAGCUGGUUUGAGAGAACGACCAGCCACACUGGAACUGAGACACGGUCCAGACUCCUACGGAGGCAGCAGUGGGAAUUUUGGGACAAUGGGGGCGAACCCUGAUCCAGCAAUGCCGCGUGAGUGAAGAAGGCC
rnacentral:rRNA from 1 species